rnacentral:snoRNA from 1 species
AGCCCAGUGCUGACACCAUCCUUGCUCCCUGUGCCCUCAGGGGCUGUGGGCCACAACAUGGCUGCUCUUGGACUGGGCCAGUUGAGACAUUGCCUGGGGGCUGAGGGCA